rnacentral:lncRNA from 1 species
AAAAAAGGGUACAACAACACGGUAUAAAUCAUCUCUCUUCUUAUGGAUGUUCAUAUGGCGCAUGCAUAGCUGUAAAGAGUUCCUGGAGAAUAUUUCUCUGAAGCCGCACGUCCAAUUUGACAUUGCACACGUACCUUGGCUCUGGUUCAGUUGCAGCAUGCCUGUGCAUAUCUGCUCCUCCAAAUUGCUACUUGAUUCGUGGAGCAUCCACUGGGAGCUGUGAGCAAUGAUGGUCGGUCAUCGGGAGCACAAACUCAACUACUGUGCAUUCAGAACAUGGAAUGAACUCUUUGUGGCCAUAGAUGUAUCUUUUGUGUUGAAUCUAAUGAAAAGGAGGA